AUUUUGACUAUACUUUUGGGACUUAAUUAUAAAUUAUCCUUAAAGCAAUGGUUUUACUUAAUCUACACAUUGGUUGAUUGCAGUAAAAUAACAAUAAUAAUAUGUAUGGAUGUAUGUACUGGGGAGGGAAAAAAAUGGAGAAAAUAAUUUGAUGGGCCCUUUCCUAAGCCAUAGAUUAGGGAUCAUGCAUGAACUUGUACCAACCAAUCAUGUGACGUUAGGUUAACAGAUAAGAAAAAGUGGGUAGAGACCAAAAUGUUGAACAUGGUAUGUUUUUAAUGGUUGACCAACAGUAACAGGAGUCCAAAUUGGAGUAAUAUUUUUAC
rnacentral:misc_RNA from 1 species